rnacentral:lncRNA from 1 species
UUCAAAACAUUAGUAAAAUAGCAUUCAGCACUUUUUACUAAAUUUUACAAGUUUUUAUCUUUUUUUAGGAACCGUCAAGAAAAGAAGAUUUGUUGUGACAAUACAAAGUUCAUGAUAAUUGAUUUGCAUAAUAACUGACUUCGGUUAACAUACUGGUCUUGGCUGAGGACAUCCCGACAAACUGGAAAAUUGGAAGUGAAUUGUGAACCUGUAAUGCCAAUCUCCUCCGUGAUAUCUGAAUUUCU